rnacentral:rRNA from 1 species
UACGUAGGGCGCAAGCGUUGUCCGGAAUUAUUGGGCGCAAAGAGCUCGUAGGCGAUUUGCCGCGUCUGUCGUGAAAGCUUGGGGCUUAACCCCAAGUCUGCGGUGGAUACGGGCAGACUAGAGGCAGGUAGGGGAGAACGGAAUUCCCGGUGUAGCGGUGAAAUGCGCAGAUAUCGGGAGGAACACCGGUGGCGAAGGCGGUUCUCUGGGCCUGUACUGACGCUGAGGAGCGAAAGCGUGGGGAGCGAACAGG